rnacentral:lncRNA from 10 species
AGGCUACUCUGAUUUGCAAUUAGCAGGAUAAACUGAAGAUAACACCUUGCAGAAGCAGAUCUCAAUUAACAACUGAUGGAGAAAAGAGGAAACUGAAGAGGCCAAAAGAAAGGGAACACACAAUGAGGAAGAAGGAGAAAGUUGGACCCAUUCCAAGAAUCAUGCAAGCCAUUCUGCUGGAUGUGAAGUGGUAUCUGAUUGUUACUAGAAGGCUAUCCUUACAAGAAAUGCUAAAGGAAAUUGUUCAGACUGAAAGCAAUUGACACCAGACGGUAAUUUGAAUCCACACAGUAAAACAAUGAGCAUCAGCAGAGGUCAUUAUGUCAGUAAUUUGAACCACAGUAUAAUAUAUAUUACUACUCCUUCCUUCUCUUAGCUGAUUUAAACAGCAAUUGCAUAAAACAAUAUGUAUAUAAUUGCAUUAUUAAGCCUAUAACAUACAGAAAUGCAAUAUAUUUGACAAUAACAUCACAAGAAAGGUAGGAGGGAACAAAGCUGUAUUAUAGUACAGAAAUGACACCAGAUGGUAACUUGAAUCUACAGGAAGAAAUAAAGAGCGCCAGAAAUGAAGAAUAAGAAGAUUAACAUAAUAAACUCUCUAAAUAUAUACUUGCCCUCCUUUCUUCUCUCAGCUACUAUAAAAGACAUGAAACAUGAAAUUAUAUAAAACAAUAAUUAUAAAAAUUUAUUGUGCAGUUUGUAAUAUAUGUAAGUGCAAAAUAUGUUGUUGGAUUCUUGGUUGAGGUUUUUAUCUUUCUGCACUUUGAAUGUGUCAUCUAGCUGCUUUCUAGCCUCCAUUCUUUCUGAUAAGGAAUCAGAUGUUAAUCUUACUGGGGUUACAUUGUACAUGAUGCGUUGCUCUUCUCUUGCUGCUUUCAAGAUUUUCUCUUCAUUCUUGGUUUUCAACAUUUUGAUUAUAAUGUCUCAAGGUCUAGACCUUUUUGCAAUAUCCUACUUGAGUUCAACAAGCUUCUUGGAUAUGUAGAUUAAUGUGUUGUUUUGUUCUUUUGUUUGGGUUUUUUUUUUUUUUGGUCAAAUUUGUGAUAUUUUCAGCCAUUUUUCCUUUGUAUAGGUUUUUAUCUCCUUUCUCUUUCUCUCAUCUUUCUGGGACUCUCAUUAUACAUAUGUUGGUACACUUAAUGGUGUCCCACAUUUCUCUGAUGCCAUUUAUUUUUCCUCAUUCUUUUCAUCUCUGUGCUUCAAAUUGCAUAAUCUCAAUUUAUCUUCAAAUUCACUGAUUCUU